AGCUCCAAUAGCGUAUAUUAAAGUUGUUGCAGUUAAAAAGCUCGUAGUUGGAUUUCUGGUGGCGAGACUCCAUGCGCCCGCGCGUCUUUGGAGCUUCUCCACCAUCCUUCUGUUAACCUAGGUUUGACUUUAUUGGCAGCUUAGGAGCCCAGAUAUUUUACCUUGAGAAAAUUAGAGUGUUUCAGGCAGGCUUGCGCCCGGAUACAUUAGCAUGGAAUAAUGGAAUAGGACUUUAACCUCUUCUGUUGGUCAUGGGGUCG
rnacentral:rRNA from 1 species